GUGCCAGCAGCCGCGGUAAUACGAAGGGGGCUAGCGUUGCUCGGAUUGACUGGGCGUAAAGGGCGCGUAGGCGGUUUGUACAGUCAGACGUGAAAUUCCUGGGCUCAACCUGGGGGCUGCGUUUGAUACGUGCAGACUUGAGUUCGGAAGAGGGUCGUGGAAUUCCCAGUGUAGAGGUGAAAUUCGUAGAUAUUGGGAAGAACACCGGUGGCGAAGGCGGCGACCUGGUCCGAUACUGACGCUGAGGCGCGAAAGCGUGGGGAGCAAACAGGAUUAGAUACCCCCGUAGUCC
rnacentral:rRNA from 1 species